GGAAUUCAUUAGCGAUGGGAAGGAGGAAUGCACUACAGCCUUGGGCAAUUCCUUGCCCAAAGCACUAGAAGAAAUACAGAGUCCAAAGCACAAGCAGCCUUCAUUUAAUUUGCUCAUUCACCCUACCAACGCGCGCAGCCGACUGUCCCCGCAGGUUUUACUUCCCAUUUGUACUUCCAUAACGAGAUCUGUCACUCAGUACCAUUCCUCACUCGUCACAAGCGCCCGUGAGGAACGUUUUCAGGGAAACAAACACAUCCAGGCACCCCACGUGGUGGUUUUCGGCAGUUUAAUGCCUCAGCAGCACCCCUUGGCGAGGGCAGAGCAGCAGACUCGGAGCAAGGCAAACACAGUGUCCUUUGAAACAGGGAAAUGCCUUUGGCAGCGGCGUUCCUACAUCCUCGGCAGCCUGAGGCAUUCAGGAUCUUGUCUUCCCAGGCCCCGGUAUUCCGUGGAUGCUGUCCUUUCCCAGCAGCGCUUCCAUGUGGUUUUCCCUCCGGCAUCAGCGUGGGGUGAACCCGGUUCUCUCAAGCCGCAUCCGCCGCGCCGAGGCUGCUGCGGAGACCCCCGGAGCGCCGCGCUGACCUCCAGCCCCGCUCCAGAGCGCGGGGGGCGGCCGGGUCCGUGCUCCGGGGGCUCGGCGCGGCUCAGGCCGCCUCCAGCUGCUCCUGCGCGGCGGCGAGGCGGCGCUGCAGCCAGCGCUGGCGCCAGCGCAGGAAGCGGCGGCGGGCGCGCCCCGCCUGCCACCCCACCAGCACCCCGGCCGCGAACGCGGCCAGCAGCGCCCAGCGCACGGCCCGCGGCCGCAGCGCCUCCAGAGCCAUCCCCGAGCCCGCUCCCGGCCCCGCACCGGCUCCGCCUCCCGCUUCCGCCGGGGCCGGGGCGGGCCCGUUAAAGGCGGCGGGGAGGGGGCGCACUGAUUGCCGCGCCAUGGCGGAGGCAGCCUCGCAGGAUCUGCUGCUGGCAGCAGCGUUUGUGUCCGAUGCUCAGUACAACAGAAAUAUCCCGUUUAAGACCUCCCCGGAGGCGGUCAGGCUUUAUUACCUCUAUAACCACUGGAUUAUGCGAACAGCCACCUACUUCUUCAUCUUCCUCAACCUGUCCCUUGCAUUGUUUGAAGAACCUGCUGUGUAUCCACUCCCCUUCCUGGUCACUUCCGUGGUCGAGGUGUUGUGCCUUCUGGUGUUCUUUGGCCGACUGACCCAUUUUGCAAAGGUCACCCCUCGCAAUGUGUUCUGGAAGGACACCAAGAACAUCUGCAUCAUGGUUGCGAUCCUGUUAUCCCUGACAGACUUGGCCAUAUAUGGGAUCCUCAGAAUAUACAACGUGAGGAGCAUUCGAUGGUCAAGAAUCGUGAGGCCCAUCUUCCUGAUCAACUUUGCAGAGAGCCGCCAGAUCCGGAGAGCCUUCCGCAGCAUCCGCAACACGCUGCCAGAGAUCACCUACGUCUUCCUGCUAUUCAUGUUUAGCCUUCUCAUGUUCUCCCUCAUGGCCUUGAAGCUGUUUGGUGAGAGGAAUCUCCAGACAGCAGAAGGCUUGCCAUACUUCAGAAACUACCUAGAAAUUGUGUUUGACCUCUAUGUACUGGUGACAACAGCGAACAGCCCGGAUGUCAUGAUGCCAGCAUUUGACUUCAGCUCAUGGUAUGCCCUGUUCUUCAUUGCCUUUGUCAUCGUCAACACUUACAUCUUCAUGUCUCUCUUCCUGGCUGUUGUGUACAACAACUACAAAAAGCACCUGAAGAAUGAGAUCCGAAAGCUCGCUUACAUGAAGCGCCGCAAGAUGAUAGAGGCCUUCAACCUGCUGAAGGAAGAGGAGGGAGCACAGUUUGUGGUCAGAGAAGCCCGUUGGAAGCAGCUUGUCAAGCUGGUGGCUCCUGAUACCAGCAACUCCCACCGGGAGCUGCUGCUGCACAUCUCGGAUGAUGAGCAGAAGGGUUUCAUAGACAAGAAAUCCUUCGUACAACUGGCAGAUCUGCUCAACAUCCAGGUGAUCACCCUGAAAAUCCGCAGCCACCCUCUGGGGCAGUGGGUGCCCCGCAUGUACCAGUCAGCGGUGAGCCGGUUCCUGCGCAGCAUGGUCAGGCACAGGGGAUUUGUUUGGACUUACGAUGUGAUCAUUCUCAUAAAUGCCAUCUUCAUUGCUCUGGAUGAGGAAACCCCUUAUAUUUCUUAUGCUGAGUGGGUCUUCCUUGCUCUGUAUAUAAUUGAGAUACUCUUGAAAGUGUACACUUACGAACCAAGGGCGUUCUUCGGCAAAAACCAGUUCUGGAACUGGUUUGAUACUCUCAUCAUCUUUGCUGCCUUGACUGCAACGAUACUCAAUACCACCCUCAAAUCGACCACAAAGUACAACAGCCAGCAGAUCCUGGACAUUGUCUUCAUCUUAAGGGUCCUCAGGCUAAUCAGGAUUGUUGACAGCAUUCAAAGGUUCCGGGUCAUCAUGAACACGCUGAUAAACAUCGUACCAACAAUGCUGACAUUUGGUGGGCUGACUCUGGUUGUGUACUGUGUAUUUGCUAUCAUUGGCAUGGAGUUAUUCCAUGGGAAAAUCCAGUACUUCCCUGCAAACUCGAAUGCUCCUCAUGCCCUGGAAUGUGGGAAUCCAGCUCUCAAGGAUUCUCUGUUUGCCCGGGGGAAGUACUGCAAGAACAACUUCAACAACUUUGCUUCGUCCUUCAUCGUCCUGAUGGAGCUCACUGUGGUCAACCAGUGGCACGUCUUUGCCAAUGGCUUUGCCAACGUGACAGUUCAGCCUGCAAAGCUGUAUUUCAUUGCCUUCCACAUUGUGAUGGUGAUAAUCAUUGUCAACAUCUUUGUGUCCUUCAUUUUGGAAGCUUUCUUUGUGGAGUACUCCCUCGAGAAGAGUGAAGUCGAAACAGCCAUUGAACAGAAAAUCCAGGAGCUGGGAAUGGGAGUUCAAGAGGAUGAGCUCCAGGAUGAACAGCUCCUUGAGAACAUGGAGAGCUCCGAGCACGACCUCGAGGGGGACGGUGGAGCAAAGCCACCAUCCAAAGGGCUGGUGUUCAAAAUUGCCUCCAAACCAACUUCUUCUCUCUUCCACCUCAGCCCUUCUGUGCACACUUGUCUUCUUGCCUGGUCUCUGAAGAUGCUGCCUUGGUGGUGGAGGUCCUGCUGCUCCUGAGAAGUCUGUUUUCUUUCCUCCCUCCUGCACAUGCUUUGCCUUCCUCUUGGCUUGGAUCACGGGGGUACAGGACAGUUGAUGCUCUGCUCCAGCGCAUGUUUGAGGCAGAGAUACCCCUUGAGGAUGAAGGCCCAUCAUUUGAGGAGAUCCUGAACUUGUCCCCUACUGCCCCUGUUCCCAGCCACCCCACUUCAGAGAGCGCAGCGUGACAGGGACCAGCCGUGGCAGUCGGUGAGGAGGAGUUAAUCCCCAGCUGCCUGGACCUUGAGCAUGUUCCCUGGCUGCUCACCUCCAGCCACAACGUGUGUGGGGACCAGAUCGUGCAGCAGAGGGGGCAGCUGGUGCCCAAAGUGGCUUCAUUGUGUAAAGGAGCUUUAUCUCGCAGCAAGUCUCAUGUAUAUGUUGAAACUGGAACUACCCUCGUGGGAAAGCAGAGGGGAGAGUUGGUGUAUGGACUGUGCCAGUCACUGAUGGUGCCAUAUUCAGUAUGUUAUGAAAUACCUACUCCUUGUAACUGGACUUUUGUAUUACAGCACUUUUAUACCCGCGUAUGGACCAGUGUAGCUGAAUCCAGCAGCGCUGUUGUACAUUAAAUUCAGCAGUAUGGAAAAAACAA